rnacentral:rRNA from 1 species
UUGGCGACCGGGCGCACGGGUGAGUAACACGUAUCCAACCUGCCGAUGACUCGGGGAUAGGCCUUUCGAAAGAAAGAUUAAUACCCGAUGGCAUAGUUCUUCCGCAUGGUAGAACUAUUAAAGAAUUUCGGUCAUCGAUGGGGAUGCGUUCCAUUAGCUUGUUGGCGGGGUAACGGCCCACCAAGGCAUCGAUGGAUAGGGGUUCUGAGAGGAAGGUCCCCCACAUUGGAACUGAGACACGGUCCAAACUCCUACGGAAGGCAGCAG